AGCGUGGGCGAUGGCAACAUUGCCCGACGGCGACCGGCGCACUGGUGAGUAACACGUAUGCGACCUGCCCCCAGCAAGGGGAUAACCCGUAGAAAUGCGGACUAAUACCCUAUAGGCACAGCAGCUGCAUGGCUGCAGUGUGAAAGGAUUCUGGCUGGGGAUGGGCAUGCGGCGCAUUAGCUAGUUGGCGGGGUAACGGCCCACCAAGGCGACGAUGCGUAGGGGUUCUGAGAGGAAGGUCCCCCACAUUGGUACUGAGACACGGACCAAACUCCUACGGGAGGCAGCAGUGAGGAAUAUUGGUCAAUGGACGAGAGUCUGAACCAGCCAAGUCGCGUGAGGGAAUGAAGGUCCUAUGGAUUGUAAACCUCUUUUGUCGGGGAGUAAAGUGAGCAACGUGUUGCUUAUUGAGAGUACCCGAAGAAAAAGCAUCGGCUAACUCCGUGCCAGCAGCCGCGGUAAUACGGAGGAUGCGAGCGUUAUCCGGAUUCAUUGGGUUUAAAGGGUGCGCAGGCGGCCCGUCAAGUCAGCGGUAAAAUCUCGGGGCUCAACCCCGUUCGGCCGUUGAAACUGGCGAGCUUGAGUGCGUGCGAGGAUGGCGGAAUGCGCGGUGUAGCGGUGAAAUGCAUAGAUAUUGCGCAGAACUCCGAUUGCGAAGGCAGCCGUCCAGUGCGCCACUGACGCUCAUGCACGAAAGCGUGGGGAUCGAACAGGAUUAGAUACCCUGGUAGUCCACGCGGUAAACGAUGAUUACUAGUUAUUCGCUGCGAUUGAGUAGUGAGUGACCGAGCGAAAGCGUUAAGUAAUCCACCUGGGGAGUACGCCGGCAACGGUGAAACUCAAAGGAAUUGACGGGGGCCCGCACAAGCGGAGGAACAUGUGGUUUAAUUCGAUGAUACGCGAGGAACCUUACCCAGGCUCAAACGGUCGGUGCCGAUGCUCGAAAGAGU
rnacentral:rRNA from 1 species